GCAGUCGAGGGGUAACAGGGAGCUUGCUCCGCUGACGACCGGCGCACGGGUGCGCACCGCGUAUGGAACCUACCUUCUACAGGGGAAUAGCCUUUGGAAACGAAGAUUAAUGCCCCAUAGUAUCAUUAUACAGCAUUGUAUUUUGAUUAAAGCCUUCGGGCGGUGGAAGAUGGCCAUGCGUCCCAUUAGCUUGAUGGUAAGGUAACGGCUUACCAUGGCUACGAUGGGUAGGGGCCCUGAGAGGGGGAUCCCCCACACUGGUACUGAGACACGGACCAGACUCCUACGGGAGGCAGCAGUGAGGAAUAUUGGACAAUGGAGGGGACUCUGAUCCAGCCAUGCCGCGUGCAGGAAGAAUGCCCUAUGGGUAGUAAACUGCUUUUAUACGGGAAGAAAAAGGGCUACGUGUAGCCUGUUGACGGUACCGUAAGAAUAAGGACCGGCUAACUCCGUGCCAGCAGCCGCGGUAAUACGGAGGGUCCGAGCGUUAUCCGGAAUUAUUGGGUUUAAAGGGUCCGUAGGCGGGCAGCUAAGUCAGAGGUGAAAGUUUGCAGCUCAACUGUAAAAUUGCCUUUGAUACUGGUUGUCUUGAGUUAUAGUGAAGUUGCCGGAAUAUGUAGUGUAGCGGUGAAAUGCAUAGAUAUUACAUAGAACACCGAUUGCGAAGGCAGGUGACUAACUGUAUACUGACGCUGAUGGACGAAAGCGUGGGGAGCGAACAGGAUUAGAUACCCUGGUAGUCCACGCCGUAAACGAUGGAUACUAGCUGUCCGGGUCCUUGAGACCUGGGCGGCCAAGCGAAAGUGAUAAGUAUCCCACCUGGGGAGUA
rnacentral:rRNA from 1 species